rnacentral:rRNA from 1 species
UACGUAGGGUGCAAGCGUUGUCCGGAAUUAUUGGGCGUAAAGAGCUCGUAGGCGGUUUGUCGCGUCUGCUGUGAAAACUCGGGGCUUAACUCCGGGCCUGCAGUGGGUACGGGCAGACUAGAGUGCGGUAGGGGGAGACUGGAAUUCCUGGUGUAGCGGUGAAAUGCGCAGAUAUCAGGAGGAACACCGGUGGCGAAGGCGGGUCUCUGGGCCGUAACUGACGCUGAGGAGCGAAAGCGUGGGGAGCGAACGGGG